GUGAGGACUGGUGGAGCGCUUAGAAGUGAGAAUGCCGGUAUGAGUAGCGAAAGACAGGUGAGAAUCCUGUCCACCGAAUGACUAAGGUUUCCUGGGGAAGGCUCGUCCUCCCAGGGUAAGUCGGGACCUAAGCCGAGGCCGAGAGGCGUAGGCGAUGGAUAACAGGUUGAGAUUCCUGUACCAGUUAACUGCGUUUGACGAUGGAGGGACGCAGGAGGCUAAGCAAACCGUACGACUGGAAGAGUACGGCCAAGCAGUAAGU
rnacentral:rRNA from 1 species